GCCGGGGUAGCUCAAUAGGUAGAGCGUGUGGCUCUUAAAGAGAUCACCUCAAGGUCGCGGGUUCGAGCCCCGCCUUCGGCU